CCUACGGGUGGCAGCAGUGAGGAAUAUUGGUCAAUGGACGAGAGUCUGAACCAGCCAAGUAGCGUGAAGGAUGACUGCCCUAUGGGUUGUAAACUUCUUUUAUAUGGGAAUAAAACAGGGUAUGCAUACCCUCUUGUAUGUACCAUAUGAAUAAGGAUCGGCUAACUCCGUGCCAGCAGCAGCGGUAAUACGGAGGAUCCGAUCGUUAUCCGGAUUGAUGGGGUUUAAAGGGAGCGUAGGUGGAUGGUUAAGUCAGUUGUGAAAGUUUGCGGCUCAACCGUAAAAUUGAAGUUGAAACUGGCAGUCUUGAGUACAGUAGAGGUGAGCGGAAUUCGAGGUGUAGCGGUGAAAUGCUUAGAUAUCACGAAGAACUCCAGUUGCGAAGGCAGCUCACUGGACUGCAACUGACACUGAUGCGCGAAAGUGUGGGUAUCAAACAGGAUUAGAUACCCUUGUAGUC
rnacentral:rRNA from 1 species